rnacentral:rRNA from 1 species
GACGAACGCUGGCGGCGUGCUUAACACAUGCAAGUCGAACGGAGUGGCGAACGGGUGUGAAACACGUGUGUGAUCUGCCCUGCACUUCGGGAUAAGCUUGGGAAACUGGGUCUAAUACCGGAUAGUGCAAGAUGAGCUCGCGGCCUAUCAGCUUGUUUGUGGGGUAAUGGCCGACCAAGGCGUCGACGGGUAUCCGGCCUGUGAGGGUGUACGGCCACAUUGGGACUGAGAUACGGCCCAGACUCCUACGGGAGGCAGCAGUGGGGAAUAUUGCACAAUGGUCGGACGCCUGAUGCAGCGACGCCGGGUGGGGGAUGAAGGCCUUCGGGUUGUAAACUCCUUUCGACAGGGACGCGGUACCUGUAUAAGAAGCACCGGCUAACUACGUGCCAGCAGCCGCGGUAAUUC